CAUGCACUGGUGGGGUUCCUCGGCCUGGCCUGUGCCCUCUCACAAUCCAGGACCCCUCGGGGGAUGUCAGACUGCUGGUUUCAGCCCGAUCUUCACAGGCCAGGCCGAGGGACCCCACCAGUGCACA
rnacentral:pre_miRNA from 1 species